ensembl:lncRNA
UUAGACAAGUGUUUAAGUGGUAUGCCAUCUGCAAAUACUUGUGCUUAGUCACUCAGUCGUGUCUGACUCUUUGUGACCCCAUGGACUGUAGCCCAUCAGGCUCCUUUGUCCAUGGGGAUUCUCCAAGCAAGAAUACUGGAGUGGGUUGCCAUGCCCACCUUCAGGGGAUCUUCCCAACCCAGGGAUGGAACCCAGGUCUCCUGCAUUGCAGGCAGAUUCUUUACUGUCUAAGCCACCAGGGAGGACCAUUUGCAAAUGCUAUCUGGGGGCCAAUUUUUUUCUUGUUGGAUCUGAGAGAUUUAUAACUUACCUAAAUGCAUCAUCAUUGUCAUCAUCAUCAUCUUCAUUUCUUCUUCAUUUUUCCCCUCUAGAUUUAAUCUAGUAGGCCACACUGACCGGGUUAAGAAUUUUCAAAAAUAUAAAAGAUCUAAAAGUUACUCUACUUGGCAAAACAAAGGCAGAGUAAGUAAUUUUUCCAAAUAUCUCUUCAGACAUGCCUUAUAAGGAAGUUUUUCUUUCAGGGGGAUUUGGGCUCUCAUUAAUCUAUUUCUGCUUUCAACAGUGAAAUGAAAAAUGGAAUGAGAUUAUCAAAAUGGAUAGUCUGGUGUGGACCUGAUAACAUGUUUUUGAAAAGUGGUUUACAUUUGACAUUAGUUAAGCUCCCUGGGCCGGAGCAUCCCAGGUCUGCUAUGUGAAGCCUGUCUCUACUCCCAGCUUGGACACAAAUAUGCUUUAUUGGUUUUAAACGCCUCUCAGGCUGGUUGGAAGGAUGGAUGAAUUCUUAGGGCGGUAAGUAUUAAGUCAUCUGCAGUACUGUAAAUAUCACCUCACCCUAUCUUAUUCGGUAUUUAUACAAAGACAGUUUUAUGUAGCAUGCUUUUUCCUCAACCUGGAUAUAUUUAUUUUAAAAUUUUAUUCUCUUCAUAGCAUAUACUUUUUGAUGGAUGGUACAGAAAGUAUAAAGUGAGCAAUUUAGAUAUUUAAAACGUGAUGUAGCUUCCUUCGUACCUUUUGGCACACUUAAAGUUCAACUCCUUCUAAUAUCAGGACAGUCUGAAAGGAGUAGAAAGUCCUAUGUUUCUAGCAAAUUACAAGAACAUUGGCAGUUAAACCAGCUAACUUGUCUCUUAGAAAUAAUCUUCUCAAAACAGUAUUUCAGAACAGUAACAACAUGCUGACAACAACCUACCUUUCUAAUCUUGCUUCACUGGUUAUGAUGAUUGUGCUUCUAAUUAAAUGUGUGAUUAGCAGAAGUGACUGAAUCCACACAAUGGCAGAUGUGGCCAAGAUAAGGGUGUCGUCCCUGUAUCUCACUCAAUUGAUUAAAAAUUUCUCGAAACCCCUAAUGCUCUUCACGCCACUCAGAAUCAGGUUUGUGGAAAUAAACCGCCCUCUCCUGAUGUCCUUUAAUGAGUGGAGCCCAGUUCUGCUCAAUCCAAAAGCCACUGAGAGAGGGUUCAUACUAAGUUAAAGAGCUUAGCUCUUAUUGAGGCUAAAAUUCAAUGACUAGCCAGUGAUAUUUCCCCACAAUGUGCAAGGAAACAAAAAGUAAGCAAGGAGCUGCCCAGAAUGCAUAUUCCCAGGCUCCACACCCGGCGGUGCUGAUUCAGUGGGUCCUGGCUAGGGCUG